rnacentral:rRNA from 1 species
UACGUAGGGUGCGAGCGUUAAUCGGAAUUACUGGGCGUAAAGGGUGCGCAGGCGGUUAUAUAAGACAGAUGUGAAAUCCCCGGGCUCAACCUGGGAACUGCGUUUGUGACUGUAUGACUAGAGUACGGUAGAGAGGGGUGGAAUUCCUGGUGUAGCAGUGAAAUGCGUAGAUAUCAGUCGGAACACCGGUGGCGAAGGCGGCUUCUUGGGCCUUUACUGACGCUGAGGCGCGGAAAGCCCAGGGGAGCGAACGGG